GGUCUAAUACUGGAUAUGCACCGUAAGCCGCAUGGCUUUUGGUGGAAAGAUUUUUUGGUCAGGGAUGGACUCGCGGCCUAUCAGCUUGUUGGUGAGGUAAUGGCUCACCAAGGCGACGACGGGUAGCCGGCCUGAGAGGGUGACCGGCCACACUGGGACUGAGACACGGCCCAGACUCCUACGGGAGGCAGCAGUGGGGAAUAUUGCACAAUGGGCGAAAGCCUGAUGCAGCGACGCCGCGUGAGGGAUGACGGCCUUCGGGUUGUAAACCUCUUUCAGUAGGGAAGAAGCGAAAGUGACGGUACCUGCAGAAGAAG
rnacentral:rRNA from 1 species